UACAGAGGGGGCAAGCGUUAUUCGGAAUUAUUGGGCGUAAAGGGCGCGUAGGCGGCUUUGCAAGUGACGGGUGAAAUCCCUCGGCUUAACCGAGGAACUGCCUGUCAAACUGCAUGGCUUGAGACCGGGAGAGGUGAGUGGAAUUCCCAGUGUAGCGGUGAAAUGCGUAGAUAUCGUAAGGAAGACCAGUGGCGAAGGCGGGUCUCUGGACAGUUCCUGACGCUGAGGCACGAAGGUCAGGGGAGCAAACGGG
rnacentral:rRNA from 1 species